GAAAUGCGAUAAGUAAUGUGAAUUGCAGACUUCAGUGAAUCAUCGAAUCUUUGAACGCACAUUGCGCCCGCCAGCAUCCUGGCGGGCAUGCCUGUCCGAGCGUCAUUUCAACCCUCAAGCCCGGCUUGGUGUUGGGGCACUGCGGUCGACGUAGGCCCUGAAAAUUAGUGGCGGGCUUGUUGCAGGUCUGGGCGUAGUAGUGAUAUCUCGUCCGCGGCCUCUAGCAAGUUCCGGCCGUUAAACCCCCUAAAAUCACGGACGGUUGACCUCGGAUCAGGUAGGGAUACCCGCUGAACUUAA
rnacentral:misc_RNA from 1 species